UACACAUGCAAGUCGAACGGUUGCAUAUGUGCUUGCACCUGAUGGCGAGUGGCGAACGGGUGAGUAAUACAUCGGAACGUGCCCAGCCGUGGGGGAUAACGUAGCGAAAGUUACGCUAAUACCGCAUACGAUCUAAGGAUGAAAGCGGGGGACCGUAAGGCCUCGCGCGAUAGGAGCGGCCGAUGUCAGAUUAGGUAGUUGGUGAGGUAAAGGCUCACCAAGCCGACGAUCUGUAGCUGGUCUGAGAGGACGACCAGCCACACUGGGACUGAGACACGGUCCAGACUCCUACGGGAGGCAGCAGUGGGGAAUUUUGGACAAUGGACGCAAGUCUGAUCCAGCCAUUCCGCGUGCAGGACGAAGGCCUUCGGGUUGUAAACUGCUUUUGUACGGAACGAAAAAGCUCUUACUAAUACUAGGAGUCCAUGACGGUACCGUAAGAAUAAGCACCGGCUAACUACGUGCCAGCAGCCGCGGUAAUACGUAGGGUGCAAGCGUUAAUCGGAAUUACUGGGCGUAAAGCGUGCGCAGGCG
rnacentral:rRNA from 1 species